AUACGGAAGGUCCGGGCGUUAUCCGGAUUUAUUGGGUUUAAAGGGAGCGCAGGCGGAGAUGCAAGCGUGACGUCAAAUUUCGGGGCUCAACUCCGUCUCGCGUCGCGAACUGCGUCCCUUGGUUGCGGGAAGGGGAGGCGGAACUCGUGGUGUAGCGGUGAAAUGCAUAGAUAUCACGAAGAACUCCGGUCGCGAAGGCAGCCUUCCCGCCCGUUCACGACGCUCAUUCUCGAAGGGGCGGGUAACAAACAGGAUUAGAUUCCCUGGUAGUCCGCACAGUAAACGAUGGACACCCGCGGUUUGGCCUGUAUGGCUGAGCCGCCAAGCGAAAGCGUUAAGUGUCCCGCCUGGGGAGUACGCCGUCAACGGUGAAACUCAAAGGAAUUGACGGGG
rnacentral:rRNA from 1 species